rnacentral:rRNA from 1 species
UACGUAGGGUGCGAGCGUGUCCGGAAUUAUUGGGCGUAAAGAGCUCGUAGGCGGUGUGUCACGUCGAUCGUGAAAACUUACAGCUUAACUGUGAGCGUGCGGUCGAUACGGGCAUCACUGGAGUUCGGCAGGGGAGACUGGAAUUCCUGGUGUAGCGGUGGAAUGCGCAGAUAUCAGGAGGAACACCGAUGGCGAAGGCAGCUCGCUGGGACGGUACUGACGCUGAGGCGCGAAAGCGUGGGGGAGCGAACAGGA